rnacentral:lncRNA from 1 species
GACUCCUGUGGGAUCACGCCGGAUCCGGCAUCAGAAGUACACUUUGAGGGGCGCAAGUUUUAAAAAUUGUUGGAGAGAAUCUAUAAAAAGACAUACAUGUAUUUGAUUUAAAAAUGAAAGGGUGAUUAGGUCGAUUUAAGAGGAUAAAUUUGGGAAAAUUACUCAACCCAUUUUCAUCACUACACGGUUGCACACACGGGAAAACAGUAAUGGCCGAUACAGGUGUCUUACAAGAACAGUUCGAAAUGGUUCAAAAUGUUGUGUGUGGUACGGUGCACGCUUGGGUGCACGGUACUUCAGAAAGAAAUCAGGAGGAGAGAAAAUAAUGGAGGAACGAAUAAGUUUAAAAAAAAAAUUAAAAUUUUAUCCAAAUGUGGUUAAAAAAUUCAUCUGCUAAGGUUCAGAGACCAUACGAUUGAAACUUAUUAAAAUAAUAUUCUCUGAGGAAAUUUUCGUUGGUGACCGGGCACACUUGAAGAAACCAGCCGGGAAAAGUGAGGUUAGGAGAUUGCUGUUUACAAAAUUUUGUUUACUAUUUUGGCUAGCACCUGUCUUUCUUACGCUUCCUUAUUUAAUUAUGAAUCUAUGACCUCAAUUAUCAAUUCUGGUUUUACAUUGCACUAACAACAUAAUUUGACAAUGUGCAUGAAUUAAUUUUUUGUUUGUUGUAUCAAUUUUAAAAAUCGAAAAUGCAGUCUCUAUAUCAGUACUUGAAGCAGGUCAGCAUUGCAAUGAAAACCAAAGAUGGUAUCAAAAUGUCUGACUCUUUUCUCUCCGACACUCACAUACCAAAAACUCAAACUUACUGAAUGUAGAUUCCGAAGAGGUUCUUCAAACUAUCGACCACCCUCUGGUGAAAUACUCUGUUACAUCUAAAGUAAGUAAUUACAGUAUCUCUUCUCUCCUCUUAAUUUUUAUGAUGGGAAAAAUAUUUACAACUUCAAAUGACUCAGAUUAUAAAUCUAAGAAUUUAGAAAGAAACCAUGAUUUUCCAUGAAGAUGAAUAUUUUUUUUUCAGAUUUUUCCAACAUUUUUUACUUUAAAAAUUACA